UUACAUUAUAGAAUCUUUAAAUAUUUAAUGCAUAUUUUCUAAUGAACUCAUUAUCUACAAGAUGUGAUCAAUUUUAAACAAAUACUUCCAAUAUCCUCUUAUUAUAUAUGCCAACAUAUCACUUUUAUAUUAUAAUGAACAACAUAACUAUUCUGACAAUGAGAAUAAGAUUUAUUAACACUCUCCUUUUCUUGCCCUGUCCUUCUCAGAUGACAGAUGACAAAGUUUUUGUAAGUUUCGAACCAAGACUGCUAAGACAAUGCCAUCAUUCAGUGAAUGGAGGGAAUAUUCAAAGACAUAAAAAUGCCCAGGAAAUUCUUAAAAGCUAUUUUAGAUUUUAAUCGCUUUAUUAGAUUUCUUGCUUGAGUGAUUUGUGCAGAAAACAUUUUAUCUAUUUUGUUUUCCUCUGAUUACCAAACUGUGUUAGACACAAAAGUCUACUUGAAACUAGCUUACAGUUUAAAGACAGGUUUAAUAACAGGUGAACACUGGAAAAUAUGCAAACAAAAUGGCAGACAUGAAUGACUUCAUUUAAGGCAUAAUUGCUUCUCAUCAACCCAAGAAAUCAUGCAGAAACAGUCUCUGUUUUACCCAGCCAGGAAGAGACCAGAGAAAUCACUCAGGCAGAGAUACUAAAAGGAAGGUCCAUUCUUGGGUCUCAGCCAAACAACCACUCCACACACAGAUCCAAGCGUAAAGACAAUAGUCCUUAGAAUCACAGUUCAUCAUAACAGAUAAUUAUACAGCAAGUAAGACAAUAAGGUUUUUUGGCCUCUGACUAUAUAGACUAAUUGCUGGCUAUGGAGCUCUGCCUGGAAGGCAUACAGCACAGCCUCUGCAAUGUCUUCUUAUUCUGUGAAGACUGGUGUAAUUUGGGUGGACAAGAGGUUUAGUGUCUAGUGAAUUCCAUAUGGUGGUUUUUUUUUUCUCCUUUGUGAAUUUCCUUUUUCCCCUGACAGACAGAUAGUGGUUUUCCAAUAGCAGUAUUCCAAAUGACUGAUGACAUAUCUACCUGGAAGGAGUUUUAAAAGGAAAUCCUGCCCGGUAUUCCCAAGAAGUUUUUGGUUGAUUAAAAAAAAGAAAGAUCAAUAAAAAAAAGACCUAAGAAAAUCUGACCACUUAAAUAUGGGGUUUGCCUUUAUACAUUAUGCAAUAUUAAGAUUAGGAUAUGAUGUUAAGUUUUACUUAAAUGCACAUGGGUGUCAGAAGAUUUGCUGGAUAACACAGGCAAACCCUAGAGUUAGCAAACAAUCCUUGCUUUCUAAUAUGCAUGUGGAAGGAAAAGAGUCUCACCUUUAUUUUGAUUUUGUCUUGUUUUGUUUUGUGCUCUUUCCACUCUCUGACAAGAUCUAUCACGAUCGCUUGCUUGCUUGCUUGCUUUAUUUAUUUGUUUGUUUAUUUAUUUAUUUAUUUAUUUAUUUAUUUAUUUAUUAUCAGGAAAGGUUAAAGGUGUCUGUUUUUCAGAUAUUUACUUAUGACAGAGAGUUCUUGGCAAGAUGGCAAGGAGAUGCAGAGGCUCUGGAACAGUGACCUACUCUUCUUCCACUGGAAACAAAUAUGUCUCCAAUUUGUGCGGCCUGCAAUGCCAGCCAAUUAACUUGAAGUUGAGUUUUGACUCAAACUCAUGACCCUUCAAGCCAUAGAUCCCUAUUAUACAUCUGGCGUCAUUGAACCAAGUUAGGUGGAAAAAGAAAGAAGGUGGGAUAUCUUUUGAAACAAGGUGAGCUGAGGAUCCAAAGAAGCAAAAAAGGAGUCCCGAGCAUAGACAACUACUUCUUGUGUGCUAAUUGAUCACCGACUCUUCUCACAACAACCCAUGGAGUGAGAUCUAUUACUGUUCCCAUUUUCACAGGUACUGAGCCUUAUCACAGACACUGAGGAUAUAACACUUAAGACAGAUAAGAUGCACAGUUAUAUGGAGCCUACCUUCCAGUCAGAGGAGACAGAAUCUGUGCCUCAGAGGUACUCAAAAGACAAAAUAACACCAUCUGACACCUUGAAUUACUGAGUAAACUUUUGUACCACUGAAAACUCACAUCAGGUGCUUGGACAGAAUUGUAGGGGGAGGACAGCCCUUGUCAUCUGGUGUAGGAUAAAAGACAUCUCUACAGAAGCUACCAACAGUCUGAGAUUUAUUUCUUUGGAUGACCACAGAUGUACUGCUGAGAUAAAACCAUACCUGUACGGAGAGCUUGGGAGGCUUUUCCAUAGGCUCAUUGUCAAGUGAAAGUUAAGCCCCCACUCACUGGGAAGCGAAGGGUGAAGAAAUAAGAUACUACAUGGCUCUGCUUUUUAGUGCAUGGAUCAGAGACACAUCUAUGAACAACUGCCUACGCAAAUUGAUUACUGGGCAAUAUCAUUUCUCAGUUUUUAUGGGUAAAUGAGUGCUUCUCGUCAUGGACCUAGCUUGUGCAUCAAUUUAGUUCCAUUAAGUUGCUUUGGAUUCAUGGAAAUUCUGAACAGAGAUGUGAGAAUGACUACAAUUUGAGGUAUCUGUUAAAUACAGCAACAUGACAUCACAAGGAUUGUUUUUGAGUCUUCUGAAUGAGAGAUAAUAAAAUGGUGAAAUCUUAGGACUGGAAUAUCAAGGAAAAAAUAGAGACAACCAUGGUUUCCAGACUCUUUUAUUGGAGAAUAAUUCAUUUGUUGGUUUGUUUGACAGAAAUGGGAUUAUUUGAAGAGAUCAGCACAAGGAAUAAUGGUUUAUAACUUUUCUGAGAUCAGGACUGUAUGUGAAAACAGAGCCAUCCUGAAAACUAUGAAGAAAUAUUUCUUUCAUUCAAAGGAAAACAAAGUAGAAGGAUUCAGGAAAGGAUAGAAAACUCAGUGGUGUUGAGGAGUAUGUAAAUACCUUAGGCCUUUAAGGAAAUUCUACUGAAAUCAACAUAAUAAGAGGAAGACGGAAGGGUCAAGAACUUAGAAACAUGGAGAGGGAAGAGAACAAGAAAGGACAUGGUGCUACUCUUCAUUUUCUGCUGUGUGACAAAGGUCAAAAUGAUGGCACUUCUGGACUUUGAAGAGAUGAUCUUUCUUUAUUGGGAUUAAGUUCCCAAAGUCGUAUUCACUGAACUUCCUAAAAGUAGCAAUGGACAUUUCAGAAUGAACUUCUAAAGCACAAGGGUCCUUGACUCCAUGCUGGAAGUUUCCCAGCUGAACUAAGCAGUAAAGAACUACUCUGGAUAAUUCAUUUGACCAAAACUGAAUUAAGCAAUAUGGACUAUUUACAGACAGCCUGCAGGGUUGUAACCUCUCAGAAUGUCAAAAGACAUUCAUUACACAUAAAAAUAAGACUUCUAUAUUCUCAACCAAAUAUACCAAGAAUAUCUAUUCAAUAAUAUCUAUAAAUCUAAAUUCAGAGAAUAUGGUAAUGAUUUUUUUCUUAUGUAUUAUACCUAUUUUACCUACAAUGUCAUAGGAAUUGGUUUUUUUUUUUUUGCGCAGUUUUAGAGAGUGCAAUCAUUUUCUUAUAAUAAAUACCUUAGUUCCUCCACAAUCCCAUGGAGUAUCCCAUGCACAUGGAACCCAAAUCCAACUGAUAUAUGAAGGAGAAUAUUUCAUUUGAUUUAAUGACCAAUUCUCAUUUUAUUUUGACCAUAGUUUCAGUUGGUCUUUAUAAAGCCUUUUUUUGAGUCCCAAUAAAAUUUGUCCGUGGAAAAACCUGCUAAUUUUUGUUCUGAGCUCUUGCAAGUUGUUUUGUGUGUGUGUGUGUGUGUGUGUGUGUGUGUGUGUGUGUGUAAUACAUGUAUAUAUGUAUAUAUAAUACAUAUAUAUUAUA